rnacentral:lncRNA from 1 species
CUCCCAUUUUGGAUAAAUUGGUUUCAUGCUGAAACAAAUAUUCUGACAGAUAUUUACACAGUGUGGUGGGGUGCUUAUAGGUUUAAAAUCGUUUUAUAUACAGGUUUAGACUGUGAUUUAAAAAAAAAAAUGUUGAUAUCUUUUUAUAUCAUUUACAAAAAAACGGUGCGGGAAAUUGACAAGAUUACAUUUCCGGAUGCGGGAAGCGGGAA